GUUGUUUCAGGUCUCAUAACAAAAGAAAGUGAAGUUAGAAGUAAGCCUAUAAAAUUUUGUUUCCCCAAUGAGGCAUUAAGCCAAAAAUAUUUCCCCGAGACUUUUGUUUGGAUCUGUGUUCUUGUUAUUCAAAAAUCUUCCUUGGGACCAUCUCUGUUAGCUGUCAACAAUUAGGUUCUAAGUUCAAGUUGGAUCCGCAGAGCCAUUUGAGUUUGAGACCGUGAUUACAGGAGAUCGUGGAUGGCGAUGAGAUCUGGAGUUUGAUUCUUAGAGAUAAGGACUAAGAAUGGUUACUACUAGCAAACUUUAUACAUUGCUAAUAUUUUUACAAUAGGAGACACAAUGUAUUAAUUUAAUCUUAUACUUCUUAUCUUUCUCAGUACAUGAACGAAAUUAUACAUGCAUCCUCAUUGAUUUCUUAAUACAUGAACUAAGUAGUUAACUCAUGUACUUGAGAUGAAUCUAGUUUACUUUUUCAACAAUAAGAA